UGUCAAAAUUUCGUAGUUUUGAGAAUCAAUAUUUUGAAUUUGAAUGGUAAGUUUUAAAAUAUUAUUGGAAUUGUGAUUGUUUCUAGUAAUUAUUAUUUACAGCACACCCGAACAAAGCAGCCACAAGAGCAGCAUUUUUCGUCACCAGCCAUCUAUCUACUUGAUAAGUUUUCAACAACAACAACCAGGUGCUACAAAUCAGCUCAACUUGACUCAACAUCCUGGAUCUGGCAAUCAGCCAACCGACAUUAAAUCGAUACAACCGUAGCAGUACCAACAACUCCAAAUCCAGCAGCUGCCAACAAUCUCUCAAAAAAGAACCACAGCAAUUACAGCUCAGAACCAACAAAGCAACAAGAGCUUUUUUACGAAUAAUGGACCCAUCGGAAACACUUUAUCGGCACAUUCUGUCGUAAAACUUGCCUGCCACUAUUCUUACCAGCGGUUACCUUCCUGAUGUAGAGAAAUCAGAGUCAAACACAAACGUCAUAUUACUGCCUUGGCUCCUACCAGUUGCUUGCAUGAAAAUAUCGCUGCCUCCACAGUGCUCGUGAUUUCAUCCCAGCAGCAGCUAGCAACCACAAUUCCAGUGCUUAUCGCCAGCAACAUAAGAAAAUUAAGAUUUCCCCCAGACCAUGACCAUCAUCCGACAGAUCGGCAGCAACGUUCAACUGACGGUACAACCUGGCCAGCAACCGCAAGUAGUGCAAUCGAUCCAAGCCAAAUGUAGAAGACCAUUGGUCAACUGCAAAAAAAAGAUACAUCAACAGCACCUUCAAACACAGUAGCAGCAGCAUACUGUACUGUACCACGCCGCGUGCAGGACUUUUUUUAUUCAGCUGGUGCAGCAAGAUCGAACAGCAACCAUAGCGGAUACACAUCACCGAACACCAGCAACAUAAUGCCAUGGUAACCACCCAGCAGCAGAACACGGCGAUAAUGGGCCAACAGUAAAUACAACAUCAAGAUCCUCGGAAAGGACUUUCUCUUUCGAACAAACAUAAUGGAAUCAUACUCUACACGCGCGACAUAUUCAAUCGGGCCAACCGUGUGACUCGUUUGGCAAAAAGGGCUCAUCAUCGGUUUCAUGGCAGCGAAGUGAGCAGACAAAAGAAGGCGUUUUUUCCGAAUGGUCGCUCUGGGCAAAAGUUCAGCUAAUUGCAAGGAACAAACCACCGGAGUGACAGUAUCCGUGCUGAUUCAGGACCUUUUUCCAUAUAUUGUAGCUUUUGAAUUUUAAUACCCGGUCGAAACGAUGGCAAGUGCUGCCGAUAACUGGGUCAAAAAGGCGGAAGGAGGAUCAGGAAAUUUCUGCACUCGGUUUUGAAUUUUUCUUUUCAAUACAAAUAGGUUGUCGAUCUGAGUAUCCCUAAGGAUAAGGAACCAGAGCCGACGGCUGACAGCCCAAAGAAACAGAAAGCGGAAAAACCUUCUAGUUCACCGCCAGUAGAACCAGCGAUCAAAUUACUCCGGUAGAAACGGCUGCACCUGCAGUUUUGUUUUCGGUAGCUACAGAAAUUAAGACUUUAGCAGCUACUGAAGAAAAAAAAGCUGCUAGCGAAAAUGGAGAAACAGCUUCCUCCACGGAAGAUGCAGAGGCAUUCAACCCGGCGGAUGCAAGUUUGCUAAUUAAACUUAUUCGCAAAGGUCUAGUAGAAUCAAAGCUGGAUCUGGGGGUGAAGGAUCCUUCUUCGCCGCUAUACUUGGUUAAAACUUUCGAAGCUUUGCACAUGAAUUCGGAACUGCUUCUAUGCUAUGGGUUUCAACGCUCCUUCCAAGAUUCAGAAGACGGCUCAACCUACUCUGUUGGCCGAUCCACCACAGAACAUAAUCGCCCAGAGUUGGUCGGGAACAAGAAAAACCACUGCCUUCGUGCUGGCAAUGCUCAAUCGAGUCAAUCCGUUGAAAAACUAUCCGCAGGUGAUUUGCCUUUCCCCACGUAUGAACUGGCAAUUCAGAAGGGGAAAGUAGCUGCAAAACGGCUGGUUAAACCGUUCGCGGUGAGAAGAUCGUCAAAGGGGCGAAGCUGACUAAUCAUAUCAUCAUCGGAACAGCCGGGCGUUCGACCUUAAGAAGAUUGCCAUUUUUGUAAUGGACGAGGCGGGCGUUAUGAUCGCUGUUCUUUUUAGCAACGUACGAGCGGGAGGUGAUGGGAUUCGUCCAGUACAUCGUAACCAAUCCGAUCAUGAUUCUUCUGGUGCGGGAGCAAGAAUCACUCGAUAACACCAAACACUACUACGUCAAAUGCCGCAACCAGGACGAGAAAUAUCAAGCAAUUUCAAACAUGUACGGUGUGAUUACCGUCGGACAAGCGAUCAUUUUCUGUCAUAUGAUGUAUAGGACAGUUGUAAACUCCAAGUAAACUUAUUUUCGGCAUUGUUAAUCGAUCGAAACAGGCACGCAAAACGGCCGGUUGGUUGACCGGCAGGAUGUCCCAGGAUGGUCAUUCGGUAGCGGUACUGUCCGGUGAUCUAACGGUGGAGCAACGAUUGGAACGAACGUUUUGUCCAGGGGUAUCGACGUCGAACAGGUUACCAUUGUCGUCAACUUCGACCUGCCGAUGGAUUAGCAGGGACGAGCCGAUUGCGAAACGUAUCUACAUCGAAUUAGACGCACCGGUAGAUUCAAACGGAAUCACCAUCAACCUAGUGGGUAGUGAUCGAAGCAUGAUGAUUUGCAGAUCAAUGGAAAAACACUUCCGGAAAAAGAUUCAGUUGCUAGACGCGGAGAACUCGGACGAAAGGCGUAGGAGCUUUUUUGGGUCAUACUUGUUUUGAUUCUGAAUUUAUAAUUUUAUUAUAUUUUAAUUUUUUUUUCUUCCUUGACCUGACAUAAGGUAUACAAAUGUAACCAACAGGGUAUCGUAAGCUAAUAAAUUUACAAUUACAAUUACAAUUUAUCUCUACCCAGUUCUAUCCAAACAUUUGAAAAGGGCCUAACUGCAAAAUGUAACAAAUUGAAAGUUCAUGUUUUCCAUUAACGAAUAUCUACCCGAGCACGUACAUAACGCAACAUUUGAUUAUGAAGAAUUUUGAUAGCGAUUUUACAACAAUUUAUAAAAGGGCCUAAUUGAUUUUUAUGACCGAACUGAUUAUGAAAGGACCUAGCUGAUUGAAAAGUGCCUAACUAGCAAUACACUCGUUUUAAAUGGAUUAUAACGUAUUAUUGUAUUAUGACUGAUUGUAAAAGGCUUAUAACAUCUUUUCCAUAAUUUACAUACAGGGCCAAUCUGAUUUUAUGAUGUUCAGUGGGGUCAAUCUGACCAUCAAUCUAGAAUUCAGUUAAUUCGUCUAACUUUCGGUGUAAUAUCAGACUUGAACAGCAUUUUUUGUGUGAGGUAUUCUGCCGCUAGAAGCAAAACUGUCCCAUGUGCUAUGGGAAUCCCUAUACACAUGGGACAAUUAUACUUCUUGCGGCAGUAAUACAAGUAGUAGCAAUAUGCGCAAUUCCUUAAACCUCUCUAGUGUUUCAUGCAAUAAAAAUUACCACGAAUUACUUAUGGCAAUAAAUUUGAAUUACGAUUCUCACAAUUGUUAUACCAAAAAUAGGUUUGUAUCCGUACUGAUUUUUGGUAGCAUUCCCUGAGACUUCCAGAACCUUUAGUAGUAGCACAGAUAACAGACGUUUAGGCUCGAUUUGAAUCGUGUGUAAAUACCCGCUGCUGAAAUUCCGAAUAAAUCAGACAUCUGAAACAUGUUUGGCAAACGUUUGCAGAUGGCGCAGUGAUCACUACAAUGCAGUUAGAGUGCAGCUGUCGAACACGUGUAGCAAACAGUUGCGCAGAUGGCAAUAGUGAAACACGGAUUUUCAACGUAUAUCAAUUUGAAAGUUUACACAGGUUUUUGAAGAAAUUUUGUUCUAGCCUAAACGUCUGUUAUCUGUGGUAGUAGCCAUUGUUAUCAUAAUCGAUUUUUAACGUCAGCCAGAGUUUAAAGCCUAGGGUUUGGUUCGACCUGAAACCGAUUGAGUCGGAGUCGGUUGUUAUAUUUGCGUUAUAUUUCCGGAUUCCGAAACGUGUUUCGAAAGGUAGUUUCCCCGAGACUUGUGAAAGCGGUAAAGGCGGCCAAGGCAAUCAGAUUUGCUUCUUAAUGGUCAAACGCCGAUUUAGAGCUACGAUUCGGACAAUUACAAUAGAUUUGGGUUGAGCGAAUUUCGAUCAUUUCCCUGGGUCUUCUAGAACCGGUAGAAGCAGCCAAUUUAGAUAGAAAAUGGCCAGCCAAUGAUUUAAAUUUCCGAUUGCAGGAAUUGUGCAGUCUAAAUUGGUCAGACUGAACUUCCCCGAGACAUCCGGAACCGUCACAAAUAAGCAUUAUGAUUAAUCAUGCUCGAAAUAUGAUUCACGCUGAGUACGUCACUUCCCUGAGAGCUUCAUGAAUGGCAAAAAGGUUUACAAUUGUUACCGAUUUCAUACACAUCCGUGAUGAAUUAAUAAAAUACAUAAUUUAAAACAUUUAAAUGACAACAGAAACAUAAAAAAGAAAUAAACAAACAACAGCUGAUGUCGUUUUCCAGUUAUCAAAAGCGACAUCUAACAGCAAACACACAGACUAGUUUUCGCGAGCAAAUGUCAAAAUUCCGCACGGAAGAAGGAAAAAUAUUUCGCGACCUCAUUUCGCAAG